rnacentral:rRNA from 1 species
AGAGUUUGAUCCUGGCUCAGAUUGAACGCUGGCGGCAGGCCUAACACAUGCAAGUCGAGCGGUAGAGAGAAGCUUGCUUCUCUUGAGAGCGGCGGACGGGUGAGUAAUGCCUAGGAAUCUGCCUGGUAGUGGGGGAUAACGUUCGGAAACGGACGCUAAUACCGCAUACGUCCUACGGGGGAAAGCAGGGGACCUUCGGGCCUUGCGCUAUCAGAUGAGCCUAGGUCGGAUUAGCUAGUUGGUGAGGUAAUGGCUCACCAAGGCGACGGUCCGUAACUGGUCUGAGAGGAUGAUCAGUCACACUGGAACUGAGACACGGUCCAGACUCCUACGGGAGGCAGCAGUGGGGAAUAUUGGACAAUGGGCGAAAGCCUGAUCCAGCCAUGCCGCGUGUGUGAAGAAGGUCUUCGGAUUGUAAAGCACUUUAAGUUGGGAGGAAGGGCAGUUACCUAAUACGUGAUUGUUUUGACGUUACCGACAGAAUAAGCACCGGCUAACUCUGUGCCAGCAGCCGCGGUAAUACAGAGGGUGCAAGCGUUAAUCGGAAUUACUGGGCGUAAAGCGCGCGUAGGUGGUUAGUUAAGUUGGAUGUGAAAUCCCCGGGCUCAACCUGGGAACUGCAUUCAAAACUGACUGACUAGAGUAUGGUAGAGGGUGGUGGAAUUUCCUGUGUAGCGGUGAAAUGCGUAGAUAUAGGAAGGAACACCAGUGGCGAAGGCGACCACCUGGACUGAUACUGACACUGAGGUGCGAAAGCGUGGGGAGCAAACAGGAUUAGAUACCCUGGUAGUCCACGCCGUAAACGAUGUCAACUAGCCGUUGGGAGCCUUGAGCUCUUAGUGGCGCAGCUAACGCAUUAAGUUGACCGCCUGGGGAGUACGGCCGCAAGGUUAAAACUCAAAGGAAUUGACGGG